rnacentral:rRNA from 1 species
AGUGAACGCUGGCGGUAGGCCUAACACAUGCAAGUCGAACGGCAGCACAGUAAGAGCUUGCUCUUACGGGUGGCGAGUGGCGGACGGGUGAGGAAUACAUCGGAAUCUACUUUUUCGUGGGGGAUAACGUAGGGAAACUUACGCUAAUACCGCAUACGACCUACGGGUGAAAGUAGGGGAUCUUCGGACCUUGCGCGAUUGAAUGAGCCGAUGUCGGAUUAGCUAGUUGGCGGGGUAAAGGCCCACCAAGGCGACGAUCCGUAGCUGGUCUGAGAGGAUGAUCAGCCACACUGGAACUGAGACACGGUCCAGACUCCUACGGGAGGCAGCAGUGGGGAAUAUUGGACAAUGGGCGCAAGCCUGAUCCAGCCAUGCCGCGUGGGUGAAGAAGGCCUUCGGGUUGUAAAGCCCUUUUGUUGGGAAAGAAAAGCAGCAGGUUAAUACCCCGCUGUUCUGACGGGACCCAAAGAAUAAGCACCGGCUAACUUCGU